UUACAGUACCUGGCAGGGGAGACACCUUGAUCACGGAGGUUCACCCAGGGCGAGGUUCAACCAUUGCACUCUGGAUGAGCUGAUCCCUCAUUCUCUAAUGCAUAAUUUUGAUUAGUGGGGGACUGUGUCCGCACUCAUACAUCCCCCCC
ensembl:snRNA U1 U1 spliceosomal RNA